rnacentral:rRNA from 1 species
AGAGUUGAUCCUGGCUAGGAGUGAACGCUAGCGACAGGCUAACACAUGCAAGUCGAGGGGCAUCACGGGAGUAGCAAUACAACUGGUGGCGACCGGCGCACGGGUGAGUAACGCGUAUGCAACCUACCUAUCAGAGGGGAAUAACCCGGCGAAAGUCGGACUAAUACCGCAUAAAACAGGGGCACCGCAUGGUGAUAUUUGUUAAAGAAAUUCGCUGAUAGAUGGGCAUGCGUUCCAUUAGGUAGUUGGUGAGGUAACGGCUCACCAAGCCGACGAUGGAUAGGGGAACUGAGAGGUUGGUCCCCCACACUGGUACUGAGACACGGACCAGACUCCUACGGGAGGCAGCAGUGAGGAAUAUUGGUCAAUGGGCGGGAGCCUGAACCAGCCAAGUCGCGUGAAGGAAGAAGGAUCUAUGGUUCGUAAACUUCUUUUGCAGGGGAAUAAAGUGCAGGACGUGUCCUGUUUUGUAUGUACCCUGAGAAUAAGGAUCGGCUAACUCCGUGCCAGCCGCCGC